UACGGGGGGGGCAAGCGUUGUUCGGAAUUACUGGGCGUAAAGGGCUCGUAGGCGGCCAACUAAGUCGGAUGUGGAAUCCCCAGGCUUAACCUGGGAACUGCAUCCGAUACUGGAUGGCUUGAAUCCGGGAGAGGGAUGCAGAAUUCCAGGUGUAGCGGUGAAAUGCGUAGAUAUCAGGAGGAACACCAAUGGCGAAGGCAGCUCGCUGGGACGGUACUGACGCUGAGACGCGAAAGCGUGGGGAGCAAACAGG
rnacentral:rRNA from 1 species